AGUACCCGCAGGAAAAAUAUAAUAACAACGGAAAUAUUCUGAACUUGUAGCUUAUUUUGAAAUCUAUUUUAUAUAGUUUAUCAGUUAAGCGAAUUAUACAUUUGAAUAAUACUAUUAUUUGACAUUCAUUUUUUCGUCGACCGUCGAGCAUACAGCUAUAACGUGCCAUAAAUUUGCGACAAUUAUGGAAAAAAGUGUUGUAAAAUUACCAAAAAUGGCACAAAAAAAGAAAGGAUCAAUUACUUCCUUUUUUAAGUUAACACCUACUACCUCAGAAUUUAAUUGAACUCAUAACAACGAUACUCUUACGAAUAAACGAGCAUCUUCGCCAGUUAACUCGAUUGACUCUGCUAAAAUUUGUCGCACUUUAAGUUUAGAUACAAAAGACUCAAAUAAUAUUUCUUUUACUGAGGACACAAACUAUAGUAAUAAUUAUGAUAUUGAAUUUUAUAUUAACCGUAAGUUAUCGAACGAAGAUAUCUUAAUUGUUAUGACGAAAAUUUGGAUGCCAAAUAUAUCAUUCAAAUUCCCACAAAAACUAUAUACAGUUCAAAAUAAACCAAAAUACUUAAAGUUCCAGUAUUCAUGGCUAUUAAGAUUCCCUUGGUUGGUAUACUCGAUAAAAGAAAAUGGUGCAUUUUGUCGAAUCUGUGUAGCUUUUUCCAAAUCGAAUGAAAAUAACGGACAAAUCUUAGGUGCAUUAGUAAAAAAAAAAUAUGAUAAUUGGAGAAAUGCUAUUGUUGAUUUCAAAGAACAUUCUAACAAGGGUUACCAUAAAACAUGUGUGUUAAGUUCAGAUAAUUUUAUGGAUGUUGUAAAACAUCCUGAGAAAUCUAUAACGUGUAAAAUAGAAACUGGAAGAGCUGAACUAAUUAGAAAAAAUCGAAAAAAUAUAACUCCAAUAAUUCAAACCGUAAUUUUAUGUGGUAAACAAAAUAUUCCUCCUAGAGGACAUCGAGAUUUUGGGAAAAUUAUUGUUGAACAAGAAAAUGAUAGGCUUAUCCAAGAAAAUCAGGGAAAUUUUAGAGAAAUAUUAAGAUAUAGAGCCCAAGGAGAUAAACAUUUAAAAUCAUUUUUGGAAGCUGAAGGAACAAUAAAAUAUACAAGUGCAACACUUCAAAAUGAAAUAAUUGAAUCCUGCAAUAAAAUUAUUUUAAAUAAAAUCGUAACAAACAUAAAUGCCCAAAAAUGUUUCACAAUACUUGCUGAUGAAACAGCUGACAUUUGUGGAAUCGAACAAGUAUCUUUGUGUGCACGAUAUUUAGAUGUUGAAAAUAUGAUUAUCAAGGAAGAAUUUCUUCAGUUUGUGCCUACGACAGAUACUACUGGAAAAGGUUUAGCCGAUAUUAUUAUACAAGUUUAUAUUCAUUUGGUGUAGAUACAAAAUACCUUAGAGGACAGGGUUACGAUGGAUGUGCUUCUAUGUCUGGUCAAUUUAACGGAGCUCAAGCUAUUAUUCGCCAAAGUCACCCGCUUGCGACGUAUGUUCAUUGUGCUGCUCAUGUUUUAAACCUUGCUAUUUCUUAUUCAUGUUCUAUACAAGAAAUACGAAAUUGUUUAGGAACAAUAUUUAAAGUUAGAGAUUUCUUUAUAUACCCGAAGCGAAAAGAUGUGUUGAAAAGUCAAAUCGAAGAAAGCCAAGAAUGUAUGACAAAAAAAACAUUAAAACGAUUAUGUGCGACCAGAUGGGUUGAACGUUUUCGUGCUGUCAAUGAUUUUCUUGAGCUUUUUGAGUACGUAAUUGAAUCGUUAUAUAUAAUUUCGAAGUGGAGUGUUACUGAAACAUCAUAACAAGCAAGCAAUCUACGAACAUCAAUACUGAAAGGAGAUUUUAUUAUUUGUUUACUUAUUGUGAAUAAAGUAUUUAGUUUUGGGUUACCUCUUUCAAAACAAUUUCAAAGAAUAAAUAUUGAUCUAGGUGAAGCUAUGGAUCUUGCGGAAGAUACAAUAAAAGAACUUCAAACUUUAAGAUCGAAUGCUGAGUCUGAAUUUCAUAAAAUUUUUGAAAAUGCAUUGACUUUAUCAAAUAAACUAGAUACAAAUAUUUCCAUACCACGUAUUAUAGGAAGACAAACGAACAGAGUAAAUAUUGAGACAAAUUCACCAGAGUCAUAUUUUCGAGUUGCUUUUUUUAUUCCUUACAUAGAUACAUUUAUAGAUCAACUAAAUUUAAGGUUUGUUAAUCAAAAAAUGUUGUUAUUGGACUUCAAAUCAUUAAUUUCAACAGACGAAAAUGAAGCUCACUUCUUACGUUUGGCGCAAAUGUACAUGUUUGACUUAAAUGAAUGCGAAGAAUCUGUGUUACUGGCAGAGUUCAAAUUAUGGAAAAGACGUUUAGAAAGUAUUAAAUCAUCAAAUACACCAAGAAAUGCCAUGGAAGCAAUAGUUUUAUGCAAUAGCCAAAUUUAUCCAAAUGUAUUUAAACUCUUACAGAUUUUUGCAACUUUACCAGUAUCAACUGCAUCUAAUGAGAGGUCGUUUUCUAACUUGAAAAGAAAAAAGACAUACUUGCGAAACACAAUGACACAAGGGUGGUUAAAUGGUUUGGCUAUGCUAGCCAUUAACAUAGAAGUUUGCAUUGAUACCAGUGAAGUAAUUGAUAAUCUAAGUAAAAAGAAGAGACGCCUAGAUCUUAUAUUAUAAAUUUAGUUUUAAAGUUCAAAAAUUGUUAAUUUUACUAUAAUCUUUAAAAUACAAAAAUAUAAGAAAUAAAGAUCAUGAAAUAUUAAAAUAAAUCUCAAUAUCGUUGUAU